CCUACGGGGGGCAGCAGUGAGGAAUAUUGGUCAAUGGACGAGAGUCUGAACCAGCCAAGUAGCGUGAAGGAUGACUGCCCUAUGGGUUGUAAACUUCUUUUAUAUGGGAAUAAAACGUUCCACGUGUGGGAUUUUGUAUGUACCAUAUGAAUAAGGAUCGGCUAACUCCGUGCCAGCAGCCGCGGUAAUACGGAGGAUCCGAGCGUUAUCCGGAUUUAUUGGGUUUAAAGGGAGCGUAGGUGGAUUGUUAAGUCAGUUGUGAAAGUUUGCGGCUCAACCGUAAAAUUGUAGUUGAAACUGGCAGUCUUGAGUACAGUAGAGGUGGGCGGAAUUCGUGGUGUAGCGGUGAAAUGCUUAGAUAUCACGAAGAACUCCGAUUGCGAAGGCAGUUCACUGGACUGCAACUGACACUGAGGCUCGAAAGUGUGGGUAUCAAACAGGAUUAGAUACCCUUGUAGUC
rnacentral:rRNA from 1 species